AUAAACCUCAAAGUUGGUAUGCAACCCGCCAAUAAAUCCAUAGAAGAAGAAGUCGUCCAGUAGGAGACGGAAAAGCGCCGUUAAACACAACAAGAAGAAUUUAUCCAUGUUCAUCUUGAGAGCAGGUGGAUGUGAUCUACAGUAAAUCAGUAGGAACUGAUCUGUCCAUGCUGGAUAUUGAUGAUUUCAGCACAAAAAUCUCUCAGCUGAAGAAAGAGGUGACGUCACUGAAGACAAAACUGAUGGAGAGAGACGACAGGUUACAGGAGCUGGAAAAGGUUUCCUGUCAAUCUUCAGUGUGUGUGACUGGUGGGACCUCCACAGAAUGUCAGGAUUCAGUGUGGAGAGGCAGAGAUCAGUCCACACCACAGCGACUGCUGGACGAACUCUCUGAACAGAGAUCCAGAGACACACAGGACUCACAGCUCACUUUACUCUGUUCUACUGACGGUAAUCAGGGUGAUCAAAACUACACAGAGUCUCUGACUUCUGUCUGUAACGCUGGAGAACAGCAGAUGCUGCAGACACCAGUGAAGAUCGAAGUGAAACAGGAGGAGAUAAAAGUAGAGGAACAACAGAGUAAUGAAGAUAAUGGUGAUGAUCAAACCUCCACAGAGUCUCUGACUUCUGUCUGUAAUGCUGGAGAACAGCAGAUGCUGCAGACACCAGUGACGAUCGAAGUGAAACAUGAGGAGAUAAAAGUAGAGGAACAACAGAGUAAUGAAGAUGAUGAUCAAACCUCCACAGAGUCUCUGACUUCUGUCUGUAAUGCUGGAGAACAGCAGAUGCUGCAGAUACCAGUGAAGAUGUGUUCAGUGAAGCUGCUGGACUGCAAGAACCUGAUGAAGAUCAGAGGUGAAAUCAAAGUAGAGGAACAACAGAGUAAUGAAGAUGAUGAUCAAAUCUCCACAGAAAUUCUGACUUCUGUCUGUAACGCUGGAGAACAGCAGAUGCUGAUGACACCGGUGAAGAUCGAAGUGAAGCAAGAGGAGAUAAAAGAAGAGAACACAGUAGAGGAACAACAGGGAGAAGAAGAUGAUUAUUUUUCUUCAGAUCUGAUGGAAGCGAAAGAGAACCGUCAAGAACUGAAUAAAGUGGAGGACCAACAUCAGUGUCAGAAACAUCAUGAUUUUAUAUCUGGAGAAAAAUCUUUGAGUUGCUCAAAGACUAAGAAGACUUUAUCACCAGAAAAGCGUAAAAGAAAAACAGCCAAAAAUACUUUCACCUGCUCACAGUGUGGAAAGAGUUUCACAAAUAAGAUCUGGUUUAAUAAACACAUGAAAAUUCAUAUUGGAGAGAAACCUUACACGUGCCAUCAGUGUGGGAAAUGUUUUGCAUAUACAGUUUGUCUCAAAGGUCAUCUCCGCUGUCAUUCUGGAGUGAGACCAUUUAAAUGUGACAAGUGUGGUAAAACAUUUCUUUUGAAUUCAAGCUUAAGAAAACAUCUGAAAACUCACACAGAUGAGAAGCCUUACAAGUGUUCUUUUUGUGGAAACCGUUUUGCACGCCUAUCCUCUUUGAAAAAGCACCAGAAAAUACAUACUGGUGUGGGGGCUCAUAUGUGCUUUGAAUGUGGGAAGAUCUUUACUACAGCCGGCAGCAUGAAACAGCACCAAAGAAUUCAUACUGGAGAAAAACCAUACAAGUGCUCACACUGUGGAAAGAGUUUCACUCAAUCACAAAACCUGAAAACACACGAGAGAAUUCAUACUGGAGAAAAACCAUACAAGUGCUCACACUGUGGAAAGAGUUUCACUCAGUCACGGAACCUGAAAACGCAUGAAAGAAUUCAUACUGGAGAAAAACCAUACAAGUGCUCACACUGUGGAAAGAGUUUCACUCAGUCACAAAACCUGAAAACACACGAGAGAAUUCAUACUGGAGGAAAACCUUACAAGUGCUCACACUGUGAAAAGAGUUUCACUCAUUCACAAAACCUGAAAACACACGAGAGAAUCCAUACUGGAGGAAAACCUUACAAGUGCUCACACUGUGGAAAGGGUUUCACUCAGUCACGGAACCUGAAAACACAUGAGAGAAUCCAUACUGGAAAAAAACUUUACAAGUGCUCACACUGUGAAAAGAGUUUCACUCAUUCACAAAGCUUGAAAACACACAAAAGAUUUCAUACUGGAGAAAAACCUUACAAGUGCUCACACUGUGGAAAGAGUUUCACUCUGAAACAUCACCUGAAAUCACACGAGAGAUUUCAUACUGGAGAAAAACCUUACAAGUGCUCACACUGUGGAAAGAGUUUCACUCAAUCACAAAGCCUGAAAACACAUGAGAGAAUUCAUACUGGAGAAAAACCUUACAAGUGCUCUCACUGUGAAAAGAGUUUCACUCAGUCAGAAUACCUGAAAACACAUGAGAGAAUUCAUACUGGAGAAAAUCCUUACAAGUGCUCACACUGUGGAAAGAGUUUCACUCAGUCACGGAACCUGAAAACACACGAGAGAAUUCAUACUGGAAAAAAACUUUACAAGUGCUCACACUGUGGAAAGAGUUUCACUCAGUCAGAAAACCUGAAAACACACGAGAGAAUUCAUACUGGAGAAAAACCUUACAAGUGCUCACACUGUGGAAAGAGUUUCACUCUGAAACAUCACCUGAAAUCACACGAGAGAUUUCAUACUGGAGAAAAACCUUACAAGUGCUCACACUGUGGAAAGAGUUUCACUCAGUCACAAGACCUGAAAAAACACGAGAGAAUUCAUACUGGAGAAAAACCUUACAAGUGCUCUCACUGUGGAAAGAGUUUCACUCAGUCAGAAAACCUGAAAAAACACGAGAGAAUUCAUACUGGAGAUAAACAACUAAAACUGCUCUUCAUUUGAAAAGUUUCAGGGCAGCAAGUAAUCUACGUAGACAUGUAAAUAUAAUUGCCCAAGUAGACACACUGAGCAAAAAGCAUCUUCAGAUCCAACAAGAUUAAGUAAAUAGUUGGAAAGAUGAACCCAAAGAUGGAAUUUUUCCAAAUUGAGUAGCAUCCUCUGAAAAUCCCCUGCUGAUAUUGUACGUUUGCCCACUGACAGACAAAUGAACAGUCUAUAAUUUUAAUGGUAGGUUACUUUGAACAGUGAGAGACAGAAUAACAACAAAUCCAGGAAAACGCAUGUCCAAAAUGUUAUCAAUUGAAUUGCAAAACCCUUGUUGGUAAUCACAGAGGUCAGACAUUUCUUAUAGUUGGCCACCAGGUUUGCACACAUCUCAGGAGGGAUUUUGUCCCACUCCUCUUUGCGGAUCUUCUCCAAGUCAUUAAGGUUUCGAGGCUGACGUUUGGCAACUCGAACCUUCAGCUCCCUCUACAGAUUUUCUAUGGGAUUAAGGUCUGGAGACUGGCUAGGCCACUCCAGGACCUUAAUGUGCUUCUUCUUGAGCCACUCCUUUGUUGCCUUGGCCAUGUGUUUUGGGUCAUUGUCAUUGUGGAAUACCCAUCCACGACCCAUUUUCAGUGCCCUGGCUGAGGGAAGGAGGUUCUCACCCAAGAUUUGACGGUACAUGGCCCCUUCCAUCGUCCCUUUGAUGUGAAGUUGUCCUGUCCCCUUAGCAGAAAAACACCCCCAAAGCACAAGUUGAGUUGAUUCCAAAGAGCUCAAUUUUGGUCUCAUUUGACCACAACACUUUCACCCAGUUCUCCUCUGAAUCAUUCAGAUGUUCAUUGGCAAACUUCAGACGGGCAUGUACAUGUGCUUUCUUGAGCAGGGGGACCUUGCGGGCGCUGCAGGAUUUCAGUCCUUCACGGCGUAGUGUGUUACCAAUUGUUUUCUUGGUGAAUAUGGUCCAAGCUGCCUUGAGAUCGUUGACAAGAUCCUCCCGUGUAGUUCUGGGCUGAUUCCUCACCGUUCUCAUGAUCAUCGCAACUCCACGUGGUGAGAUCUUGCAUGGAGCCCCAGACCGAGGGAGAUUGACUGUUCUUUUGUGUUUCUUCCAUUUGUGAAUAAUCUCAGCUCGUUUCCUGUAUAAAAGACAGCUUGGAGCCAGAAAUCUCUGAUUGAGACGGGGUCGAAUACUUAUUUUCCCUCAUGAAAAUGCAAUUCAAUUUAUAACAUUUUUGACAUGCAUUUUUCUGGAUUUUUGUUGUUGUUAUUCUGAAUAAUCGCACCAACUUUUUUUUUUCCUUCUCAGCAAGCUGCUUGGCAAUGGUCUUGUAGCCCAUUCCAGCUUUGUGUAGAUCAACAAUCUUGUCCCCUGGCAUCCUUCGACAGCUCUUUUGUCUUGGCCAAGGUGGAGAGUUUGGAAUUCUGAUUGAUUGAUUGCUUCUGUGAACAAAUGUCUUUUAUACAGGUAACAUGCUGAGAUUAGCAGCACUCCCUUUAAGAGUGUGCUCCUAAUCUCAGCUCGUUACCUGUAUAAAACACACCUGGGAGCCAGAAAUCUCUGAUUGAGACGGGGUUGAAUACUUAUUUCCCUAAUGAAAAUGCAAAUUUAUAACAUUUUUGACAUGCAUUUUUCUGGAUUUUUGUUGUUGUUAUUCUCACUGUUCAAUUUAACCUACCAUUAAAAUGAUUGACUGAUCAUUUCUUUGUCAGUGGGCAAAUGUACAAAAUCACCAGGGGAUCAAAUACUUUUUUCCCCUCACUGUAUGUGAUGUUUCAUUUGUUAAAGAAUCAGUCUUUUCAAACCAAUCUUUUAAGUGACCUAAUCGUCCUCAUUCACUUCUAUACACUGACUUAGACUUCAUGUUCACUGACUUUACUCCCUUUCGAAGCCAAUGAGUUCUAGUUUGAUGUGCAAGAAGGGUUUGGUGAUAUUUCAUGCCUGUAAAGACGGAAUAAGUGCCAGCAAAUAGGAUUCGAGUGCGGGAGCAAUUAUUGGUUUCACUGGCUGAAGGAAUACACCACUGAAUCAGAUGUGUUGGUUUUUUGACUCUGAUUGAAAUACAGUACGUAUUCUUUGUAUUGAACCAAGAGUUCAAUACAAAGAAGUUUUUUACUUGCUAAAAUGCUUGGAUUUAUUUUCUGGUUGGGUUUUUGAAGUUUAUAUUGCUUUUCAUGCUUUUAUGAAUUGAACAUUACUCAUGUUUUUACUAAUGUUUUCCAGGGAAAAUUCCUGUAACAUGUUUACUGACAUUCAUGACUUCAGAUAACUGAAAAACAUUGCUGUUGUUUUGAGGUUCCCUAAGUGUGUGUGUGUGUGCCACCGUUUUCUCAUUUCUUGUACCCCAGCCACAUAAUUGCUCAAGUUAUCACUUUCCUUUGUCCUUUUUGCAGAUAGUCUGUUAAAAAGCCACUAAAUGUAAAGUUUCUACAUGGUAGUCCCCAUUAAAUGUUUAAACAUUUCAAGUUGUUUAUAAUUUUAUAGCGCAGCAAUGUACGUAUUCAUUUGUUUACAGUGUUACCUUGAAAGUAUUAUUUUGCACAUUUCUGCAUAUCAUUUGAAAUUUUAAUAAAGUAUAUUUUAGGAGGGUCACGUGACGUCAUGCAAGAAGCAGAUGUGUAAAGACAAGCUCUGUGCACUUUGCUAAAUUUUUAAUUAUUCUUGUUAUAAUCUGGUGAAAUUCGAUACACCCAGUUACACAUUUGACCUUUGAGGUAAGACAUGGCAAAGAAGUGAAAAUCAUCGGGCUCGGGAGACAUUAAAAGACACUUACGUGUGCAGGAUGAAAGCCCCGACAGGCCUACACACCAGGGACCCGGUUUGGCUGAUGUGGCGGGAGAGGAGAUCCAGUGUCAACUAUCCAACAUGUCGGUGAUGCUGAAGAAGGUUCUUGCUGACUUGGAGGAUCUCGCUGUAAUACAUUGAUCUAUUACGGUGAUGGAAAGUUUGUUACAAGAGUGACAGAUGUUGAGAAACGAAUCGAUUAUCUGGAGGCAUCAGAGAGGGAAUUAACUGCUAAUACUCCCAUGAUCAGAGUUGAUUUGGGACAUGUUCUUGAAAGAUCUUGAGAAUCGGAAUUGCAGGAAUAACAUCUGAAUUGUUGGAAUUCCUGAACAUGAGGAUGGCAGAGAUAUGGGGAAAUUCCUAGAUGAGCUUUUCCCGAGUCUGCUCGACAUAACAGGCCACAAGUUAGAAUUUGAGCGAGCUCACAGAUUUCCGGCUCAGAGAUCUGCUGGGUGAGACAGGCCCCAAUCAAUCCUGGCCAAAUUUCUGAGAUCAUCCGAUUAAGAUCUCAUGCGGCACCAGGUUAGGAGCAAAGGAAAGCUUUCUUUGAAGAAUCAUAAUAUUUUCUUGUUCCCAGACUUUGCGAGUUUGACAAGAGAAACACGAUCGGUUCAGGGAAUACAAAAAACACUUACAUCAACAUAAGAUUGCUUUUGCACUGAUAUUUCUUUCCAAGCUGAGAAUAGAAGUGAGGUAUGUACAUGUCCGAAACAGGUGCUGUCUUUUAUACAAACAAUGGGUGAGUAAACCUUUGGGUGUUUCUCAUGCAAGUGGAUCGACUCGCUUUACAUUGACUCUAUUGUAGGAGGAAGCUGUGCACCAUUUUUGUUUCUUUUUGCGUUGACUCCGCCUUGCGGCGGGACUCGGGAGUUUGUUUUGUGAGUGGCACUUUUCCUUUUAGAAACUUUUGCAUUGAUGAAGGAUCCUAUUUUACACUGAAGUUCCCGGCCAGUUUGGGAGUGGACAAUAUGGAUGACUGUAAAAUAUCUACAUGCUCACACAAAGGAUGUCUUUUAUAAAGUUGACAUACUUAGUAAGUCAUGGUACAUAUUUUAUGCGGCCUCCAAGUGAAUUGACUUGACCAUCCAAGGAACCAGGAUGCCUGUUUUAUUUAUUUUUGUGUUGAAUAUGUAGUAUAUUUUUAUCAAGUUAAUCAGGAAUAAUCAAUGAAAACAUUGUUGAUUUAUACCACAGUUAUGUCUGAGGGGCAAACAUGCAGUUUACUGUAUGUAAAGGCCUGUGACUUGAAUACUGUGUGUGCAGAAACAUAAAUAGCAUUACUUAGGGGGGAGAAUUGAUCUCUUCCAAAGGUGGUGCUGUUACUUCCUAAUAUGGUCAAGACCAGAGUCAAUGAAGAGGAUGAUAACGAAUGCAUGUUUAAAAAAGUGUAAGCCCCACCUUGUUUGAGGAGAUGUAUUUAAGUGAAAACAAUGUUUUAGUUGUUGUUACUGUGGUUUCACCGUAGGCAACUCGGCUUUAUUGUGUGAUAAUAAAGUCUAUUCUUCUGAAAUCAAAACCCCAAAGAUGCUGAGUGAUUUUUCACAAAAUUGGCACAAGAA